GUUCAGCCUAAACCAAGCAGCUCUGCUCUCCAUUCAAGUAUUAAUUAUGUGCCAAGUCUUUGCAGUUGAGUACAGGAAUAUGCUGGUGUCCAGGGGAGACCCCGUCAUCCUCACUUGCAACAUAACAAAGACAAAUACAGCGCAAAUCACCUGGACCAAAGGCAGAUCUGUUUUUUCUCAUCUAGUCUUACACAAUAAGACUGUUUCAAAUUUCACCUCUCACAAAAUAGACGUAAACUUACCUUCAAAGCUGAAUAUUUCUAAUGUUCAGCAUGACGAUGCAGGACUAUAUAGGUGUGAUAUAACUGACAAAAAAGGUACAUGGACUAUCAAGUGGAAUUUAACAGUGUCUGGGGAACCUGAAGAUACAAGCAAAGAAAUCAGUCCAUCGUGGUCUUUUCUAUACAGACUCACCGCUGUAACUGGAUUUGUUCUAUGUGUCUUCAUUCUAGCUAUCUGCCUCUACAGAAAAACCGGACCCAGACACCAAACCAGGACUAAGAAAGCAGGGCCCUGAGCUAUGCCCAAUUUUCUGUUCAAUUUGGAAGACAGGUGGCUCCUCCUGAUCCAUCCUAAAGUUGUGCAAAAUACGCAACACAGCCCAGACAGAGGGAGUCGGUUCAUCUAGAGGCUCAAUCCAAUCCUGACAAGCAUGAAGUUCAGUAAAAAGCUGAAUAGGAAACAAGAGAUGUGUUGAACAGAAGAGAGACGACACAUUUGAAGAUGGCGACUGCUCCCCUUGGUGACCCAUGUUAAAAAAAAAUAAAAAAUACACCCCCAAAGGUGCCUUCUUGGAAGCCCCUAUGGCAGAAAAGACAUGAUAAAGUGACCUCUAUGGUGACCUUAAAAUUGAGAUAACAAUGUGCAGCCGCCGUAUGCUGGUGAACAUUAUAUUUUUUCA